GAUGAAGAACGUAGCGAAAUGCGAUAAGUAAUGCGAAUUGCAGAAUUCAGUGAAUCAUCGAAUCUUUGAACGCACAUUGCGCCCGCCAGUACUCUGGCGGGCAUGCCUGUCUGAGCGUCAUUUCAACCCUCGCACCCGGCUUCUGUCGGGGGCGGUGUUGGGGAUCGGCCUCCCGGUUUCGGGCGGCCGGCCCCUAAAUGGAGUGGCGACCGCGCCGUAGCCUCCUCUGCGUAGUAGUGAAAAACUCGCAGGCGGAGAGCGGUGUGGCCCGCCGUAAAACCCCCAACUUUCUAAGGUUGACCUCAGAUCAGGUAGGAAUACCCGCUGAACUUAAGCAUAUCAAUAAGCGGAGGA
rnacentral:misc_RNA from 1 species